rnacentral:rRNA from 1 species
AACGAACGCUGGCGGCAGGCUUAACACAUGCAAGUCGAGCGCCCCGCAAGGGGAGCGGCAGACGGGUGAGUAACGCGUGGGAAUCUACCCAUCUCUACGGAACAACUCCGGGAAACUGGAGCUAAUACCGUAUACGUCCUUUUGGAGAAAGAUUUAUCGGAGAUGGAUGAGCCCGCGUUGGAUUAGCUAGUUGGUGGGGUAAUGGCCCACCAAGGCGACGAUCCAUAGCUGGUCUGAGAGGAUGAUCAGCCACACUGGGACUGAGACACGGCCCAGACUCCUACGGGAGGCAGCAGUGGGGAAUAUUGGACAAUGGGCGAAAGCCUGAUCCAGCCAUGCCGCGUGAGUGAUGAAGGCCCUAGGGUUGUAAAGCUCUUUCAACGGUGAAGAUAAUGACGGUAACCGUAGAAGAAGCCCCGGCUAACUUCGUGCCAGCCGCCGCCGUAAAAC